ACGCUGGCAUCAUGUCUCACUGAUACCGUGUCGCCACACUCACCCUCUCCUCUUAAGAACUGGCCAGAAAUGAAUUUUAAAUCAGAUCAGAGACACACCCUUGAGUUAUAGAUCAGGUUUUCUAAAGUGUAGCUCAUUAGUUUAUUCAUUAUUAUUUGUAUUGAUAUUAAAUUGGAGGAAAGGACGGUCUGCCCCUGCAAUUAGUUAUAACGAGGAUUUACUAUCAACUACUCAGUUAAUACAAUCACUAGCUACUGCUAAAUGGUUAGUGAAGCCAUUGUGUUAUGUUAGUGAAUUAUUCAGUGAGCUGUCUUGUGAAGACAUAGCGAGAUUAUUAGAAAUAUGUGAUUCGUUUAUAUAUAGUAAUUAUCAAGAUAUACUAAAAGGAAAGAUUCCAACAGAAGAUUCCCUCCCUGAUAGUUCAUGGAGUACAUUGAAGGCAAUAUUAAGACAAAAUAUUAAUAAAUUUGGAAACAUUUACUAUAGAUUUGUAUCUAGAGAACACAUUA
rnacentral:misc_RNA from 1 species